rnacentral:rRNA from 1 species
UACGUAGGGUGCAAGCGUUAAUCGGAAUUACUGGGCGUAAAGCGUGCGCAGGCGGUUAUGUAAGACAGGUGUGAAAUCCCCGGGCUUAACCUGGGAACUGCAUUUGUGACUGCAUAGCUAGAGUACGGUAGAGGGGGAUGGAAUUCCGCGUGUAGCAGUGAAAUGCGUAGAUAUGCGGAGGAACACCGAUGGCGAAGGCAGCCCCCUGGGCCGACACUGACGCUCAGGCACGAAAGCGUGGGGAGCAAACAGG